CAAAGAUCAAGACCAUAUUUCACAACAUUCAAUUUAAAUAUUACUUGAUAAGUCACUUGGCAGUAUUAUCAAUUGCUGUUACAAAAUUUUCAAAUAGUUAUACAAUUAAAAUGCCAUUGUUCAGUAAACAAAAACUUACUUCAGUAAAAAAUCAUGUUGUCACUGAAAAAUUAACCUUUAAUAACAAUAAUAGGAUAUCUAGACAUAUCAAAACAGCACCUUUCUUCAAAUACUUUGUUUUUAUGCUUUCUUUAAAUAUGUUAGUCUACUGUCCACUGGCUUUUCAGUUGUAUUCGACGAGUAAUUAGCAGUAGUAAUUAGUGUUAGUAGUAGCCAUUUAAAAUUCUUUUUCACCAUAGAUUUCAUGAAUAAUUUUACAGGUUGUAGAUGCAAAUUGUAGAGUAAUUAAUGUUAAUGCCCGAUACCCUGGCAGGGUACAUGAUGCUUUUAUUUGGCACCACUCGAGUGUCAGAAAUGAAUUGAAAAGGCUGCAUGAAAGAAGAAUUGGAAAUUACUUCCUGUUGGGUGACUCAGGUUACCCAUUAGAGCCAUGGCUAAUGACGCCAAUCCUACAUGCAGAGCUCAACACUCCAGAAAAAAAAAUACACAGACUGGCACUGUCAAGCUCGUAAUACAGUUGAAAGAGCAAAUGGCUACCUCAAAGGUAGCCUAAGAUGUUUAAUGUACCACUGGAGGAAGACACAGCAAAUGAGCAGCAGAGAGAUCAGCCUACAGGAAUGGAGGAACCUAGGCACCUCAUUAGAAUUGGUCAAAUCAGACGUGCAGAGUUAAUUAAUAUUUAUUUUAAUUAAAUGAAGAUUUUUAAAUGAUUGUA